rnacentral:rRNA from 1 species
CCCCUAGAUGUUCUGGGCCGCACGCGCGCUACACUGAACAGUUCAACAAGUCUUAACCUUGGCCGAUAGAUCUGGGUAAUCUUUGAACGCUGUUCGUGAUUGGGAUAGACCUUUGCAAUUAUGGGUCUUCAACGAGGAAUUCCUAGUAAACGCAAGUCAUCAGCUUGCAUUGAUUACGUCCCUGCCCUUUGUACACACCGCCCGUCGCACCUACCGAUUGAAUGGUCCGGUGAAAUCUCGGGACGGCGGCUUGGUCGCUUGCGUCCGACUGCUGAAACUUGAUUAAACCAUAUCAUUUAGAGGAAGGUGAAGUCGUAACA